rnacentral:rRNA from 1 species
GUAGGGAAUAUUGGACAAUGGGGGCAACCCUGAUCCAGCGACGCCGCGUGAGUGAUGAAGGCCUUCGGGUCGUAAAGCUCUGUUGCAGGGGAAGAACACAAUGACGGUACCCUGCUAGAAAGGAUCGGCUAACUUCGUGCCAGCAGCCGCGGUAAGACGAGGGAUCCUAGCGUUGUUCGGAAUUAUUGGGCGUAAAGCGGGUGCAGGUGGCUUGGUACGUCAGAUGUGAAAGCCUGGGGCUUAACCCCAGAAGUGCAUUUGAUACUGCUGAGCUUGAGUGCUGGAGAGGCUAUUAGAAUUCCUGGUGUAGUGGUGAAAUACGUAGAUAUCAGGAGGAAUACCGGAGGCGAAGGCGGAUAGCUGGCCAGACACUGACACUCAGACCCGAAAGCGUGGGGAUCAAACAGGAUUAGAUACCCUUGUAGUCC